UACGGAGGGGGCAAGCGUUGUUCGGAAUUACUGGGCGUAAAGGGCGCGCAGGCGGCUGCUCAAGUCAGGCGUGAAAGGCCUGGGCUCAACCCAGGAACUGCAUUUGAAACUCCCUUUCUUGAGUGUCGGAGAGGAAAGUGGAAUUCCUGGUGUAGAGGUGAAAUUCGUAGAUAUCAGGAGGAACACCGGUGGCGAAGGCGGCUUUCUGGACGACAACGUGACGCUGGAGACGCGAAAAGCGUGGGG
rnacentral:rRNA from 1 species